GGAUGCGAUCAUACCAGCACUAAAAGCACCGGAUCCCAUCACAACUCCGAAGUUAAGCGUGCUUGGGCGAGAGUAGUACUAGGAUGGGUGACCUCCUGGGAAGUCCUCGUGUUGCAUUCC
rnacentral:rRNA from 16 species